UGACGCUGGGGAAAAGGAAGGGGCCUGACAAUGCAAAACCUUGGGAUUUGGAGUCCAAAACACCUGGAGGGCCAAACUUUGCCUAUGCCUGGUCUAUACUGUAGAAUUAACCCAGUUUGACGCUACUUUCACUGCCACAGAUCAAUGCAAAACCUUGGGAUUUAUAAUGUGGAAGCAGAGAAGACUAAAAGUUUUUGGCAAACUAAAACUUCCUUUGAUUCCAUGCCAUAGGGCACUUAAAGGGGUAUCAAACUGAGUUAAUUCUACAGUGUAGACACACUCCCGGACCUGAUUGAAAGGGGAGAGAAAAACAAUCUGCCCCAGUUCCUUUACCUAGGUAUUAAUUAACUAAUAAUAAUAAUAAUCUUUAUUUAUAACCCGCUUUCAUCUCCCCAGGGGGACUCAGAGUGGUUCACAUGGGGACCAAGCCCGAUCAACAGAUAAAACAACACAACAACAUAUAGAAUUAAAACAGUAACAGUAAAAAAAAAUUCAUAAAAUACAUCACUCAAGAGCUAACAUGAUUUCAAACUGCACUAAGAGGCACCUGUAGCUAAGAGUUAACAUGAAAUGACAUAGCAAAGAUCAUUAAAUCUAUUAAAAGACAUUAUUAAAAGAGGAAAAAGCAUUAAAAGGGACCAAAGCUUUGCAUUGCUUGGGAUCCUUGCUCCCACCCAGCCUUCUUACCUGGACGGUGGAAAAAAAAACCCAAAGAGAGCAGGUUCAACUGCAGAGGCAAGCGCGCGUCGAGACGUCCGGUGCGAAGAUGCUGCUCUCCAUCGGGGCUUGGCUCUUAUACCCCUCCCCACUCCCCUCCCCGCCUUUCCCAAACCACACCCACCCCUCCCCUCCCGCCAUGACGUCACCGGCAGGUGAAACUGGCGCCUUGGGACAGGAAACAGAACAAGGGGGAGCGAAAGAUAUAUCCCAGCUGAACUUGCUAACCGAAAGGUUGGUGGUUUGAAUCCGGGGCGUGGAGUGAGCUUCUGCUGUUAGCCCCAGCUUCUGCCAACCUAGCAGUUUGAAAACAUGCAAAUGUGAGUAGAUCAAUGGGUACCACUUCUGCGGGAAGGUAACAGCACUCCAUGCAGUCAUGCUGGCCACAUGACUUUGGAGGUGUCUAUGGACAAUGCCGACUCUUCAGCUUAGAAAUGGAGAUGAGCACCAACCCCUAGGAGUCGGUCAUGACUAGGACUUAAUGUCAGGAAACCUUUCCCUUUCCCUUUUUAUACAAAAAACACCAACAUACGAAAACACAGAAGCUCAACCCCCCCCCCCCAAAUUUGGGGGGGGGGGGGGGUUAGGGGUUCAAACCCCUCCUGAAAUUUUUUUCUGGCUACGGCCCUGCUUCAGACAGUAUCUUCCCUCAUCGAGAUGAUCCCUUCCAAGUCCUAGCCUUCUUCUAAUUUCGAGACUGCAAUCUCAUGUCCCCCAAAUCCCACAGUAAACCCAUUCAGAGAAUUCUGAGCAUUAUAGGCUAACAAAUAACCUUUCCAGGCUCUGGUUUUAGGAAGACGAGACCAUAGCACUGCCCAUAAGAGAGUCCAAGUGUUUCAGUUCCCAGCCCCCAUCCUUUCCACACCACUUCCUUGUUUGUCCCCGAAACUCAAGAAUGUGAAACUCCUCCAAUGGUCUCAGCUUUAACCCUUAAUUCCUGAGAAGAGAAUGUCCCUGGGAGUAGUAGAGAAUGUGGAAUUUAAGGCUGCUUGCUAUUCCUAAAGGCCUUCAACAAUAGAAUAAAUCCUACUGAAUGCAAUGAGACCUAGCGUCAAAGAUUUUCCGAGAGGUAGAUCAGUUUGUCUCUUGACUGGAAAACCAACAACAAAUAGUCUAGUGGCACCUCAAAGACUUCACUAGUUUUAUUUGGGACAUGUUUUUAUGGACCACAAUCAGAACCACAGUUUGCUGCCUCAGAUAUAUAGGAGUCAGGAGAUUGAGUGGGCAUUUAAACGUACAUGGCUGAAACAUUUCUUCUUAUUCUGGUCAUUAACAAACAGUAGUUAAGACUGCUGUGAGUUUUCCAGGCUGUAUGGCCAUGUUCCAGAAGCGUUCUGUCCUGACGUUUCGCCCACAUCUAUGUCAGGCAUCCUCAGAGGUUGUGAGGUCUGUUGGAAACUAGGUAAGUGGGGUUUAUCUAUCUGUGGAAUGUCCAGGGUGGGAGUAGUCAGGAUGUAACAUAGAUAUUCUUACCUCAGAUGAACAGGCUAAUAUAGAUGAGAAGAUUUUGGGUGCAUCUCUACACUGUAGAAUUAAUACAGUUUGACAUCACCUUAACUGCCAUGUCUCACUGCUAUGGAAUCAAAUUAAUUUUAGUUUGGCGAAGCACUAGCACUCCUUGGCAGAGAUAAAGACCUCGUAAAACUACAACUUUCAUUUUGUGUGUGUCAGGAAUGACUUGAGAAACUGCAAGUCGCUUCUGGUGUGAGAGAAUUGGACAUCUGCAAGGACAUUGCCCAGGGGACGGUAGGACAUUUGAUGAUUUACCAUCCUUGUGGGAGGCUUCUCUUAUGUCCCCGCAUGGAGAGCUGGAGCUGACAGAGCGAGCUCACCCUGGAUUCGAACCGCUGACCUGCCUGUCAGCAGUCCUACUGGCACAACUCCCAUGAUUCUAUAGCAUUGAACCAUGGUAGUUAAAGUGGUGCUAAACUAUAAUAUAGAUGUACCCAGAGACAGAGGAUGUGAAAAUUAUCUUUCUUCCCAUUAUGAAAUUACAAGAACCAUUCCUUUCUCUUGUAAUGCCUUACGGGGCAGAAACUCAAGUAGGUUGGAAAGAAUAUAGGCUAGAUAAAUUAAGCAGUAUAGCCUUGCUUAGGAGAUAAACAUUCAGCUCCGUUUCCUUGUUGUAGGAGAGGUGGGAUCAGGGUAUUUGCAGAACAAGGAAGUGGGCCCAUUGUUUGGACCCCCUGGUGGGUGUAAAUUACCCACCUUGUUGGGGCAUGACAAUGAACCAUUGAAAUGGGUCCAGCUAGAAGAUCCGGCCCUUUCAUGUCUCUGGGUGGAGGUUGGGACAAGGAAGAACAACAACAAUGGAACAAAGAAACACAGUUGGGAUGGGGGAAGGAAAGAAAAUAGCCAGUUUUAAAAACUUUAACUGCCAUGGGUCAAAAAGUAUAACAGAGUCUGUACUUUUUUUUAGAAGGAAAACAAAAAAACCCCAAGAGAUGGAACUUUCUGUAGAAUUGGAGAAAUAGCUUUAUUACAGCAGUGAUAAACGAGAUGUUUGAGGAGCCCACAGUGGCACAGCAGGUUAAAGCGCAGUUCGAAAACAUGCAAAUGUGAGUAGAUCAAUAGGUACCACUCCGG
ensembl:lncRNA